AAGGAAGAAAAAAAUUGCAGAAUCUCAGCUUUUGAUUCCCAAGUCUUACAAAGAGAAGCAGGCAAAAGCUGCUAGGAAGAGAUACAGACGAACCCUUAUACGUAUCCAAUUUCCUGAUGGAGUGGUGCUUCAGGGUGUCUUUGCUCCUUGGGAAACAACUAGUGCUCUUUAUGAGUUUGUGAGCACAUCACUGAAGGAACCCGGUUUGGAGUUUGAACUGUUAGAUCCUGUACUGGUCAAACGACGGGUUAUCCCUCAUUUUCCUGCCGCAGGGGAGAGAGCCUCUACUCUAGAAGAUGAAGAUUUGGUUCCUUCAGCUCUCAUCAAGUUCAGGCCUGUUGAAACGGACUCUUCUGUCUUCACAGGGCUCUGUAAUGAACUUCUCGAGAUUAUUGAACCGCUUAAUUGAUUUGGAAGUAUGAAGACAGAUAACAAUAUUAAUACUUGUGUGCUUCAGCUCAGGCUUGAACUGGAUUAUAUAUAUUGGGGCAAUGGUACAAUUUCACAGUUUUGCUUCUUUUUUUUUUUAUAUAUAUUAUUAAUUCAAAUUAGAUUCUGUACUCAGUUACCCAAAAAUUUGCACUAGCAGACUGAUCAAAUAUGCCAAGAAGUGUGUAUCCUUGUACUCAUAAUGCGUUGUCGACCUGCGGUCAAGUAUACAGUUGCUGUCCAUUUGGAAUUGUAACUUUGCACAAUUUUAAAUAUUUCACGAUUUUGAAUUGUAAAUUUGCUUCAAUAGUUGUUGCCAUAUGAACUCUCCAUGUUAUGUAAAUGGUUGUGCCUUCUCUCUCCAUCGUUUUAUUUGAUAUUACUGC
rnacentral:misc_RNA from 1 species